GUGUCCAGGGAUGGGAAUCGAACCCACAGUGUUCCGCUUACCGGGCAGAUGCCAUGUCCACUAGGGCAAAA